rnacentral:rRNA from 1 species
GACGAACGCUGGCGGCGUGCCUAAUACAUGCAAGUAGGACGCAGUUGCGAACGGGUGAGUAACGCGUAGGUAACUGCCUCUUAGAGGGGGAUAACUAUUGGAAACGAUAGCUAAUACCGCAUACUAGUAGAUGGACCUGCGUUGUAUUAGCUAGUAGGUAGGGUAAUGGCCUACCUAGGCGACUAUAAAUAGCCGACCCGGGAGGUGGAGCGGCCACAAUUGUACGGAGACACGGCCCAGACUCCUACGGGAGGCAGCAGUAGGGAAGCUUCGGCAAUGGGGGGAACCCUGACCGAGCAACGCCGCGUGAGUGAAGAAGGUUUUCGGAUCGUAAAGCUCUGGUGUUAAGGAAGCGGUACUUAACCAGAAAGGGACGGCUAACUACGUGCCAGCAGCCGCGGUAAUUC